rnacentral:rRNA from 1 species
UACGUAGGGCGCAAGCGUUGUCCGGAAUUAUUGGGCGUAAAGAGCGUGUAGGCGGCCUUACAGGUCAGCUGUGAAAACUCGAGGCUCAACCUCGAGACGUCGGUUGAAACCGUAAGGCUAGAGUCCGGAAGAGGAGAGUGGAAUUCCCGGUGUAGCGGUGAAAUGCGCAGAUAUCGGGAAGAACACCCGUGGCGAAGGCGGCUCUCUGGGACGGUACUGACGCUGAGACGGCGAAAAGCGUGGGGAGCGAACAGG